UGAGGAAUAUUGCACAAUGGGCGGAAGCCUGAUGCAGCAACGCCGCGUGAGGGACGAAGGCCUUCGGGUCGUAAACCUCUUUUCUGAGGGAAGAGACAAGGACGGUACCUCAGGAAUAAGUCUCGGCUAACUACGUGCCAGCAGCCGCGGUAAAACGUACGAGGCGAGCGUUAUCCGGAAUUACUGGGCGUAAAGCGCGCGCAGGCGGCUUUGUAAGUUGGACGUGAAAGCUCCUGGCUUAACUGGGAGAGGUCGUUCGAAACUGCAGAGCUUGAGUCUGGGAGAGGGGUGUGGAAUUCCCGGUGUAGUGGUGGAAUGCGUAGAUAUCGGGAGGAACACCAGUGGCGGAAGCGGCACCCUGGUCCAGUACUGACGCUGAAGUGCGAAAGCGUGGGGAGCAAACA
rnacentral:rRNA from 1 species